GUUAUAAGAUCACUCACCUAAAUACCUCCCAGGAUGUCUUCUCUGAUUAAGGAUUUGUGAGAGUUAUUGAGUUUUGAAUUAGAUGCACUUUAAUAAAACAGUAGAACGUUCUUAUCGGAUUGCACCUGUAUUGAUUGCAUUAAAGAGGUCUAUCCUCAGAUCAAGGCUUAAUUACAUCUAUAGUGCAUGACCUUGGCGUCACCCUUUGCAGUUGAGGGUCAUGUUCCAUUUCAGAGGGCUUUGAGUCUGGGGGCUUCAUGGAAGAGUGAUGACAGCUUCUCACUUUCAUACAUUACCCCUUCGUUAUCAGAAAAAUUGUGAGAGCCUGCCUGUCCUGGGAUUGACAUCUGGGCCACUGGAGAGAAGAAUCAGGAAUCAUU